rnacentral:rRNA from 1 species
CACAAGCGAGGAACAUGUGGUUUAAUUCGAUGAUACGCGAGGAACCUUACCUGGGCUUAAAUGGGGAGUGACAGCUGUCGAAAGAUGGUUUCUUCGGUACACUCUUCAAGGUGCUGCAUGGUUGUCGUCAGCUCGUGCCGUGAGGUGUCGGGUUAAGUCCCAUAACGAGCGCAACCCUUACCGUUAGUUACCAUCAGGUUAAGCUGGGGACUCUAGCGGGACUGCCACCGUAAGGUGAGAGGAAGGUGGGGAUGACGUCAAAUCAGCACGGCCCUUAUGUCCAGGGCUACACACGUGUUACAAUGGCCAGUACAAAGGGCAGCUACCGGGUGACCGGAUGCUAAUCUCCAAAGCUGGUCUCAGUUCGGAUCGAAGUCUGCAACCCGACUUCGUGAAGCUGGAUUCGCUAGUAAUCGCGCAUCAGCCAUGGCGCGGUGAAUACGUUCCCGGGCCUU